UACGAAGGGGGCUAGCGUUGUUCGGAAUUACUGGGCGUAAAGCGCGUGUAGGCGGAUCUUCAAGUCAGGGGUGAAAUCCCGGGGCUCAACCUCGGAACUGCCUUUGAUACUGUAGAUCUGGAGUCCGGAAGAGGUUGGUGGAAUUCCGAGUGUAGAGGUGAAAUUCGUAGAUAUUCGGAGGAACACCAGAGGCGAAGGCGGCCAACUGGUCCGGUACUGACGCUGAGACGCGAAAGCGUGGGGAGCAAACAGG
rnacentral:rRNA from 1 species